GCCAAACCUAGCCCAAACAGCCACAAAUUCAACUAACAUAAAUCCAUAAAUUAAAACAUUCAGUCAACCCCUAAAAGUAUAGGAGAUAGAAAUUUAACUUGGCGCCAUAGAGACAGUACCGCAAGGGAAAGAUGAAAGAAAAAUUAAAAGCACUACACAGCAAAGAUUAUCCCUUGUACCUUUUGCAUAAUGGAUUAGCUAGACAUAAUCUAACAAAGAGAACUUAAGCUAGACUCCCCGAAACCAGACGAGCUACCUACAAACAACCUUUACAGGGUGAACUCGUCUAUGUUGCAAAAUAGUGAGAAGAUUUGUAGGUAGAGGUGAAAAGCCUAACGAGCCUGGUGAUAGCCGGUUGCCCAGAACAGAAUUUUAGUUCGACCUUAAACUUGCCUAAAAACUAAAAAAUUCGAAUGUAAGUUUAAAAUAUACUCUAAAAAGGUACAGCUUUUUAGAACUAGGAUACAACCUUCAUUAGAGAGUAAGCAUAACAAUAUCCAUAGUUGGCCUAAAAGCAGCCAUCAAUUGAGAAAGCGUUCAAGCUCAACAAUAAAAACACCUUAAUACCAAAAAUAUGCAACCAACUCCUAAUCUAAUACUGGGCCAAUCUAUUCGAUAAUAGAAGUAACAAUGCUAAUAUGAGUAACAAGAAGUACUUCUCCUUGCAUAAGCUUAUAUCAGAACGGAUGACCACUGAUAGUUAACAACAAGAUAAAAAUAACCCAACAAUAAACCAAAUAUCAAACCAACUGUUAACCCAACACAGGUAUGCAACCAAGGAAAGAUUAAAAGAAGUAAAAGGAACUCGGCAAACACAAACCCCGCCUGUUUACCAAAAACAUCACCUCUAGCAUUCCCAGUAUUAGAGGCACUGCCUGCCCAGUGACACUAGUUAAACGGCCGCGGUAUCCUGACCGUGCAAAGGUAGCAUAAUCACUUGUUCUCUAAAUAAGGACUUGUAUGAACGGCCACACGAGGGUUUAACUGUCUCUUACUUCCAAUCCGUGAAAUUGACCUCCCCGUGAAGAGGCGGGGAUGUAGCAAUAAGACGAGAAGACCCUAUGGAGCUUUAAUUAACUGACCCAAAGAGACUGCACAACUCAACCGAUAGGAACAACAAACCUCUACAUGGGCCAGCAAUUUAGGUUGGGGUGACCUCGGAGAAUAAAACAACCUCCGAAUGAUUUAAAUCUAGACUAACCAGUCGAAAGUAUUACAUCACUUAUUGAUCCAAAACAUUUGAUCAACGGAACAAGUUACCCUAGGGAUAACAGCGCAAUCCUAUUUCAGAGUCCAUAUCGACAAUAGGGUUUACGACCUCGAUGUUGGAUCAGGACAUCCUGAUGGUGCAGCAGCUAUCAAAGGUUCGUUUGUUCAACGAUUAAAGUCCUACGUGAUCUGAGUUCAGACCGGAGCAAUCCAGGUCGGUUUCUAUCUAUUAAACAAUUUCUCCCAGUACGAAAGGACAAGAGAAAUAAGGCCCACCCCACACGAGCGCCUUAAGUACAACAGAUGAUAUAAUCUUAAUCUGAACAACUCACUCAUUAACAUCGCCCAAGAUGUUUGGGUUC
rnacentral:rRNA from 1 species